CAAAGAAAUAAAGCAUGUCGCUGGGAGCGUGCAGAGGCUCCACGAUAACGACAUGCUUCAAAACAAAAAGCGCAUCGCAUGAAUAAGAUUUCAUGCGAUGCGCUUUUGAAUAUCUGCGCAAAUUCGAAGCAAGCGGAAAUACUUUAGAAGG
rnacentral:ncRNA from 1 species